CGGCGACCGGGAGGCCCAUUUCACAGCUGAGAAAACGGAGGCUCAGAAAUUGACCUGCGUGAGGCCAUGCAGCUGGGAAGGGGCAGUGCAGCGAGACAUUUCCUGGGCACCGCCCAGCACAGGCCUGGGUGCUGAGGGCAGGGUUGCACAAACCUCUCCAAGCCUUCGUCAGACCACCGGUAGAAUGGGGCUGAUGACAGACUGUCUCAAAGGGGCAGAGGGAGGCUUCAAUGCAAUGCUGUAAGUCAAAACCCUCAGUUCUGGGCCUGCCGCAGGCUGAGCCCCACGCGGCUGGG
rnacentral:lncRNA from 1 species